GACGAACGCUGGCGGCGUGCUUAACACAUGCAAGUCGAACGGUGAAGCGCCUUCCUUUUUGGUGGGUGUGGAUGAGUGGCGAACGGGUGAGUAACACGUGAGUAACCUGCCCCCUUCUUCUGGAUAACCGCAUGAAAGUGUGGCUAAUACGGGAUAUUCUGGGUCUGUCGCAUGAUGGGUCUGGGAAAGAUAUUGUUUCGGUGGGGGAUGGGCUCGCGGCCUAUCAGCUUGUGGGUGGGGUGAUGGCCUACCAAGGCGGUGACGGGUAGCCGGCCUGGGAGGGUGGCCGGUCAGACUGGGACUGAGACACGGCCGAGACUCCUACGGGAGGCAGCAGUGGGGAAUAUUGCACAAUGGGCGAAAGCCUGAUGCAGCGACGCCGCGUGAGGGAUGGAGGCCUUCGGGUUGUGAACCUCUUUCGCCAGUGAAGCAGGCCUGCCUCGUUUGUGGGUGGGUUGACGGUAGCUGGAUAAGAAGCGCCGGCUAACUACGUG
rnacentral:rRNA from 1 species